rnacentral:tRNA from 1 species
GGGAGGGUAGCUCAGCGGUAAGAGCAGGCGACUCAUAAUCGCUUGGUCACGGGUUCGAAUCCCGUCCCUCCCA